rnacentral:lncRNA from 9 species
AGCCGACGCAGGCAGCCGCCGGGUGAAGUACGCAGGUACCGCAGGUACCCGGCGCCCGCCCGAUUUCAGGGCAAGUUACUGUUUUCAGAAUCCAAGGGGAAUCUAACACCUAAACAAUGCCACGAGAAAAGGAAGGAAAACGAAAAACUAAAGGAGCACUCCUGCCCAUCAUUCCAACUCUUAAAAAGUUCCUGAAAACGUAUGAGAAGUAUUGUGCACAGACUCAGACGUCUGUGUGUCCAGCCAUCAAAAGGGACUUGAAAACCAGCAUCAAUAAUGAACAAAUUCUCAGGAAGUUUGUACUUGUAAGACCUGAUGACUCCCCGCCAGGCAUCCUACCAAUUUCCUUGGAACCUUUGCUCAUGACAGUUCAGGAUGAGUGUUUCACUCUGGGGAGAGAGAUCUGCAUUUGGGGCCUUCAACUGAGCAACCCAGAGAUGGCCAGACUCGCUUUGCUUUUGGAAUCAAAGGGGUGCACCACCUGCCCAUUUACCACCCUGGAACUCAUUGAUUGCAAGAUGGAUCUGUGGUCCCUGGGGAGACUUGGGAAGGCUCUUCAGUCCAGCAGUUUGCAAACUCUUGUUCUUGAUUACUGCAAAUUUGGAAAUGAAGAAAUUGAGAGGAUUUUCUCAGGCCUGGAGAACAACCAAAGGCUUCAAGUCCUCAGCUUACGUUACUGUGGUCUGGGGCCACAGAUUGGGCCAAGGCUGGGCUCUAUCAUAUGCCAGAGUGCCAUUUGUGAGCUGCACCUUGAUGGCAAUUACUUGCAGUGUUCUGGAGCUCUGGAUCUCCUCAGACCCGUAGCAGAGUAUGCAGAGAUGCAGGGGAAAGACCAGCCAGCCACUUGCUCACCAGACCCUAGGCAUCCCCCUCAGCUGCUCCAAGCUAAGCAGAGAGGAAGUUCAACUUUGAACCAGAUUACAAAGUCAUCUGGAGCUCUAACAAUGAAAACUACUUCAGGAAAGAAGAGAAAAAAAGGAAUCAAGAAAAAACUUAAAAAUUCGGAAGUUGGACCUUGGUUAGUGAAGUUGUAUUUGGCAGAUAAUGGCAUAGAUGGAAAAGGAAAAGAAGGAGAAAAUAACUUGCUGGAAUUCACUCAAAUUUUAACAUGCCUGAUCAAAUACUCUGCCCAUUUAAGGGAGAUUGACCUUGGAAACAAUGUCCUGGGAGAAAUGGCUGCUGCUGACAUUCUUGAAGCACUGAGAGCCAGAAAGACAGGUAAACUUCCAGUUUUAAAAGUUACAGUAACCCCCCAGAUCUCUUCAGAUACCUUCAUGUCUAUUUGGGAAAAUAGCAAGAAAUCAAGUACUACCCAUAAAAAGAGGAAAAAGGUAUGCUCUCAGAUAUCUGUGCUGGUAAGUAGAAGCCACCAGGGGGUGCUCUAUGGAGUCUGGGCACUCUGCUAGGAUAGAUGGUGCCCUGAGUAGCACAUUUUGCACUUGAUCAAAUCAGGAACAUUUGGGUUCUAGGUAACACUCCCCUAAAGCAUCAUUCCACACUGAUGGAUGAUGACCAAGGGACGAGCGGUAACAGAAUAACAUAGUUCUCUCAAAGAAUAGUGCAAACUCUACCUCUUCUCUUCAAACCACAACAUACACACAAAAUCCUGGCUCCAAUUAGCCUAUUUGUGGAUCUAAAACAAUGAAUUUACCUAAGCUCUUUAUGAAGCUGUUCUACAUCUUAAGGGGUAAUGAUUUACAUGUGCUUACUCUCUAUGUAGUUGAACUUCCUUUUUCAUUUUUUUCUAUUUAUUAUCUCUUGUUCAUUUUUUCACAGGCUAGAAACUGAAUAUGGAUGCCAUAUAGCCAUAUGGAUUUUAUCUAUUUCCAUGACCUACCACACAUGCCUGGAAAGAUAUUGUUUGUUCUAUAAUAAUAUUUUUCACUAUAACCAAGCCCCUUUCAAGUUGUAAGAUUUGAUAAGACUCCUUAAUGAAAGUUCAAAGUAGUGUUAGUCCUACCAUGCUUGUCAUUUUCUAAAAUGUUGACUUUAUAAAUAAGCCUUGGUAAAAAUAAGUGGGAUUCUUCUCUGAAGCUUGUUCUCUUGUGCGUGUGAAAUUUAUAGUUUGAAGGAAGUCAUGAUCUUUAAGAAAGAAAGACUUGUCUUUCAUAAAUAUAUCUAUGGUUGGGAAAAAUAGGGAUUUUGGGGGAAAAUAACCACUUUCUAAAAGGCAACAACCCUAACAAUGGGGAUCUUCCCCAAAUGAGGAAAAUUCUGAUCACUCUACCCUCCACACUCUGUAAGAUUUCAAUAGCUCCAAAGGAAAUGGAAGCAGUAUCCUGAUCAAUGCAUAGAUGAUAAAUUGAAUUAGGUAAAUUGUAUACAGUACAGGGAUAAAAAGCAUGGGCUAGGCAAUUAGAUGAACCAGAAUUCUCUGUGGAAUCCUGCUGCUUUCCGGGUGACCUUGAGCAAGUCAGUUAACCUCCAGGUACCUAAACUUCUCCUCUGUAAGAUACAGAUAAGAAUGGUACCUAUCAGAGUUCCCUUGUGGUAGAGCAGGUUAAAGAUCUGGCAUUGUCACUGCAGCAGUUCUGGUGGCUGAGGACUUAAGACUUCAUUUUGAAGUUAUAAAAACAAACCCUGUCAUUCAUCCAACAUAUAAAAUGUAACAAGUGCUAGGAAGUUAGUGGAACCCAACUAACUGAGGAGGUGAGGUUGGGUACAGAAAAUUGUGUCCACUCUUGCAGAUUAGCAUCUAACAAGGAAGAUAAGAUCCUCAUACAUUAAAAGUAAAAAACAUUAGAGCAUGAGUUGAAAUAGUAUAAAUCCUUAGGGUAAGGAAGCCUACAGAGUAGUGACAUCAAUUUAACAAGUCUCCAGAACUUAUAUAUCCAAUGUGUGAGCCCUCCUGAGAAAUUGUUCUUGCUCAAAAACCAAAACAAAACAAACUUUUUUAAAGAUUUCCCACUGACAUCCACUGGGUAGAAGUGUAAAAUCCGUGUGCUUAUUUAGGGGUCUUUUGGCAAUGUCUAUCAAAAUGAAAAAUACAUAGCCUUGACUCAAACAUUCUACUUCUAGAAAUUUAUUUUACAGAUAUACCUCACACAUAUGCAAAGAAAUGUGUAUAAAGAUGUUCACUGCAGCAUUGUUCAUUGCACAGUGGAAACAGCUACAUGUCUCAAAGGGUUCUCCAGGACAUAAACCACAGGAAAUACACAUGGUGGAAAACUACCACACAGCCAUUAGGAAGAAUAAUGUGGAUAUGGAAGUGCUUAUAUGGAGAGAUGUCCUAGUCAUACUAUUAAAGAUAAAGAAAAGCCCAGAUAAGAGUAUAUGUGAAUUUUUCAUAUUAAAAAUGAACUAAGGGAGUUCCCAUUGUAGCGCAGUGGUUAAUGAAUCCGACUAGGAACCAUGAGGUUGAGGGUUCUAUCCCUGCCCUCGCCCAGUGGGUUAAGGAUCUGGCGUUGCCGUGAGCUGUGGUGUAGGUCACAGACUCGGCUCGGAUCCCACAUUGCUGUGGCUCUGGCAUAGGCCAGCGGCCGCAGCUCCUAUUAGACCCCUAGCCUGGGAACCUCCACAUGCCGCUGGAGCGGCCCUAGAAAAGGCAAAAAGACAAAAAAAAAAAAAAAAUUAAAAAUGAAUUGAUACAACAUGAAUCAGCAAUUUCACUUCUGGGUUUAUAUCAGAAAGAAUUGAAAGCAGGAUCAUGAAGAGAUAAUUGUACACCCAUGUUCAUAAAAGCGUUAUUUAUAAUAAUCAAAUGGUGGAGGCAACCUAUGGAUCUAUCGAUGAAUGAACACACACACACACACAAAAGAAUAUCACUUAGCCUUAAAAAGUAAGGAAAUUCUGACACAUGCUACAUACAGCAUGAAAGAACCUGGAGGACUUUAUGCUAUGUGAAGUAAACCAGUCACAAAAAAGACAGAUAUUGUACAAUUCCAAUUAUAUGAGAUAUUUAGAGUAGUCAAACUCAGAAACAGAAAGGAGCAUGGUGGCUGGAGGGAGAAGAGGGAGAUGGAGAGUUGUUUAAUGGGUAUACUUCCAGUUUUGGAAGGUGAAAAAGCUCUGGAAAUUGGUUGAUAACAAUGUGAAUGUGCUUGAUACUACUGAAUUCUACACUUUAAAAUUGUUAGGAUGGUAAAUUUUAUGUUAUGUGUAUUUUUACCACAAUUUUAAAAAUUCAAGUGAGUUGAUGUGCUCUGUGUUUGUUAGUACAUACAGAGCAAUUUCUGGAGACUCUAUUGACAGUGCUUGCUUUUUUUCCCACUGAAUACUCAUUUUCCUAUUUUAAAGGUCUUAUCACUUAUGAGCUAUCAAUUUGUAAAAACUCAAAAUUGUUUGAUAAUCAUCAGUAACAGCACUGUUUGGUUGUUAUGUGACCUAGUGCCAAAAGAGUGGAAGAAACACAAUAAGCGCUAUGAUUUUUCUGGGAGGAAUGCAUAAAUAGUAGCAAAGAGUGGUCAGUAAGGACACGAAAAUUAGUUUUCCUCACAGCAAACGCAAUGUAGUUAGAGCAGACAGAGGGAGGUUCUGACCACUUCCAGAGAUGUUAAAUGGAGUCGGGGGAAGAGAAGAGUCUAAGGUGUCUUUGGAUGGCUGAAUCAACUAAUCUGAUGAGGGUCUCAGAGAGGAGUGCUUGGAGAUAACAUUAGAAAGGUAGGUUGGGGCCAUACUGUGGCAGGAUUUAAAGGACCAGCUGGGACAUUUAGAUUUUGUUCUGAUGAUAAUGGAGAGCCAUGGAACAUUUUGAGCAGGCUAGUGUCAGGUGGAAAGGGGGAUCUAAGCAGAUUAAACAGGCACUUUAGAUUGAAUGGGGAGGCCAGACAAGAAGUCAGGACACAAUAAGCCAGGAACAGAGUGAAGAGGUUCAGAUGAGGCAUAAGCAUGUACCAUUCCUUGUCCCCUUCUUUUUUGGCCACACCCAGGGCAUGCAGAAGGGACAGGGAUUGAACAUACUACAGCUGUAACCUGAGCCAGAGCAGUGACAAUGCCAGGUCCUUAACCCACUGAGCCAUGAGAGGGAACUCCUACCAUUUCUCAUUCUUAAUCAUCCUCUAGCCUUUCAUCUGAGUUCCCUCCUUUUCUCUUUCAAACUGCCCAGUUCCCCCCAACUGGGGGCAUUUUAUCCUCAUCUGGUUCUAGCCUUCUUUUUUAAAUUAACUAUCUGGCAUUUAUAGCAUCUCUAGUCAGAUGUGUGGUAGCUUAAUGUGAGUAAAAUGUGUGUCCUUUAUGGUUCAUCUGGGUUUGUUUACAGGCAUUUUUGUCUGGCUCAUAAACUUAGUGGGGUCAACUUUACAUCUGCCACCACUACUACUGCUCUGUUCAACCUGACAGCCUUGCAGAGGUUUGCUUUCUCCACCCACUUCCGGGCCUCCGAUGCCUCCCAUCUUCCCCCAGUUCAAACGUCACCUCUUCCAUCAGCAUCUAGCCAAAUGUGACCCAAAUGUAUCCACAUUUAUAUUUUCACACAUAUAUGCUUCCUUGCCUCCUCCGCCAGAUUUCUGGAGCUUCUAGCCCCCAUCCAGACAUCAGGAGAGGAGGGGAUGAGGCCCAGUAGGAAAAGGUGGGAGGCUCUGAAUUCCAAACCCGACACAGCAGGUGUCCACCACUAGGUGGUAGUGGUGAUCAGGCAUCUUCGUGGGCUCUCCAUACCACAGCUUUCUUAUUUAAAUAGAGAUGUUAUCUGCUUUGCUUGGGAAAACAUAAUAAUAUGACCCCGGGCUAGAUGCAGAAGAACCCUGGAUUCAAAACAGUUACCUUUAGGGAAUAAUGGUGUGUCUUUAUCUUAUUUUUCUGGACCUCAACAUUCCUAUCAAUAAAAGGAGGAUGUUGGACUAGAUAGAGGUUCUCAGAGUGUGGUCCCCGGGGGUUCCUGGGAUCCUUUCAGGGGAAACAAGGUCAAAAGUAUUUGCAUAACAAUAUUCACCGCUAUUUCUCUUCACUUUCUCCUGUGAGUAUACAGUGGAGUUUUAUAAAAGCUACAAGAUAUGUGAUAUCCUUGUUCUAAUGAUUACUUGUAAUGGGUUUAUUGCUUUUCCUUGCGGGGGC